AGGAACCGGAAACGAGAACAAACUUUUCCCGGUCAUUUUAUGCAGCUAAAGUUGUUUAGUAUUUUCUCUUAUUUAGACACCAACACAUUAAAGAACACGUCUACAACCUGUAAAACCAUCCCAGCGAGGAAAGUCGUGAGGUUAGCGAGCUAUUUAUGAUUAUAUGAUUAUAGCGUAACGUUAACCGGCUGGCCAGGUAUCAACAUAGCCAGUCAGUGCACUUGUUGGUGAUACGUGGAUUCAACCUGAAGAUACUUUCAUGUUUUAGAUUUCAACAUGUCCUUGAGUGCAGUCCACUCCACACUGUCUAGUCUGAAAACAUGUCAGACAGAUAUUGGAACGGGGAUGGACAUUGUGACCGACGUCGCUCUGGACGUGGCAGAAACAGCAGGAACUGAGAAUGAUGCAGUCCUGAAGAAGCUGGAGGUGAUGAUGCUGGAGUGUGCCAAACUGGACCAGGAGAUCAACUGCUUCGUUGAGGUGGUGAACUGUGUCACUGCAGAGGUGAAGUAGUGAACUACAGGGGUCAAAAUUCAUUUUCUGUCGGAUGUAUUCUGGAGAUCAGUGUGGAUCCUCAAACGGUGGUGUGUAGCCUACUGUCGCUGUUGGAUAAGGAAUUACAAUCCUCUACGUUGUCACUCAGAAUGUCACUUUCCAGUGAUACUAGUCAUGUAAUGAUGUUAUUCAACUAAACCAGACAAUAGUUGAUCUAUUUACCUAGUCAUGUUAUUAAACUAAACCAGACAAUAGUUGAUCUAUUUACCUAGUCAUGUUAUUAAACUAAACCAGACAAUAGUUGAUCU